CCAACCUGCCGAUGACUCGGGGAUAGCCUUUCGAAAGAAAGGUUAAUACCCGAUGGCAUAGUUCUUCCGCAUGGUGGAACUAUUAAAGAAUUUCGGUCAUCGAUGGGGAUGCGUUCCAUUAGGUUGUUGGCGGGGUAACGGCCCACCAAGCCUUCGAUGGAUAGGGGUUCUGAGAGGAAGGUCC
rnacentral:rRNA from 1 species